GCACGAACUUGAUCACUCACUCUACAUGCUAUUGUAGAAGUAAGGGGAACCAGGUUUAUGCUGAAGUAAUUCAAGUGAUAAAAAAUAUAUUAACUUCAGGUCCUAUUGAGAUUGCCGAUUCUAACCUAGUAUAGGG